rnacentral:rRNA from 1 species
AGAAUCAACGCUGGCGGCGUGCCUAACACAUGCAAGUCGAACGAGAAAGUGGAGCAAUCCAUGAGUAAAGUGGCGCACGGGUGAGUAACACGUGACUAACCUACCCUCGAGUGGGGAAUAACUUCGGGAAACCGAGGCUAAUACCGCAUAAAACCUAAGGGUCAAAGGAGCAAUCCGUUUGAGGAGGGGGUCGCGGCAGAUUAGUUAGUUGGCGGGGUAAUGGCCCACCAAGACGAUGAUCUGUAUCCGGCCUGAGAGGGCGCACGGACACACUGGAACUGAAACACGGUCCAGACUCCUACGGGAGGCAGCAGUGGGGAAUUUGCGCAAUGGGGGAAACCCUGACGCAGCAACGCCGCGUGGAGGAUGAAAUCCCUUGGGAUGUAAACUCCUUUCGAUCGGGAAGAUAAUGACGGUACCGGAAGAAGAAGCCCGGCUAACUUCGUGCCAGCAGCCGC